rnacentral:rRNA from 1 species
ACUUAAAUUGAAGAGUUUGAUCAUGGCUCAGAUUGAACGCUGGCGGCAGGCCUAACACAUGCAAGUCGAGCGGUAGCACAGAGAGCUUGCUCUCGGGUGACGAGCGGCGGACGGGUGAGUAAUGUCUGGGAAACUGCCUGAUGGAGGGGGAUAACUACUGGAAACGGUAGCUAAUACCGCAUAAUGUCGCAAGACCAAAGUGGGGGACCUUCGGGCCUCAUGCCAUCAGAUGUGCCCAGAUGGGAUUAGCUAGUAGGUGGGGUAACGGCUCACCUAGGCGACGAUCCCUAGCUGGUCUGAGAGGAUGACCAGCCACACUGGAACUGAGACACGGUCCAGACUCCUACGGGAGGCAGCAGUGGGGAAUAUUGCACAAUGGGCGCAAGCCUGAUGCAGCCAUGCCGCGUGUGUGAAGAAGGCCUUCGGGUUGUAAAGCACUUUCAGCGGGGAGGAAGGCGAUAAGGUUAAUAACCUCAUCGAUUGACGUUACCCGCAGAAGAAGCACCGGCUAACUCCGUGCCAGCAGCCGCGGUAAUACGGAGGGUGCAAGCGUUAAUCGGAAUUACUGGGCGUAAAGCGCACGCAGGCGGUCUGUCAAGUCGGAUGUGAAAUCCCCGGGCUCAACCUGGGAACUGCAUUCGAAACUGGCAGGCUAGAGUCUUGUAGAGGGGGGUAGAAUUCCAGGUGUAGCGGUGAAAUGCGUAGAGAUCUGGAGGAAUACCGGUGGCGAAGGCGGCCCCCUGGACAAAGACUGACGCUCAGGUGCGAAAGCGUGGGGAGCAAACAGGAUUAGAUACCCUGGUAGUCCACGCCGUAAACGAUGUCGAUUUGGAGGUUGUGCCCUUGAGGCGUGGCUUCCGGAGCUAACGCGUUAAAUCGACCGCCUGGGGAGUACGGCCGCAAGGUUAAAACUCAAAUGAAUUGACGGGGGCCCGCACAAGCGGUGGAGCAUGUGGUUUAAUUCGAUGCAACGCGAAGAACCUUACCUGGUCUUGACAUCCACAGAACUUUCCAGAGAUGGAUUGGUGCCUUCGGGAACUGUGAGACAGGUGCUGCAUGGCUGUCGUCAGCUCGUGUUGUGAAAUGUUGGGUUAAGUCCCGCAACGAGCGCAACCCUUAUCCUUUGUUGCCAGCGGU